UACUCCCGCCGGCGACCGGCGCACGGGUGAGUAACACGUAUGAAACCUGCCCGUAGCAGGGGGAUAAGCGGAAGAAAUUCCGUCUAAUACCGCGUAACAACCCGAGGAGGCAUCUCCUCGGGUUUAAAGGAAGCGAUUCCGGCUACGGAUGGCCAUGCGUCGCAUUAGCUAGUUGGCGGGGUAACGGCCCACCAAGGCGACGAUGCGUAGGGGUUCUGAGAGGAAGGUCCCCCACACUGGUACUGAGACACGGACCAGACUCCUACGGAAGGCAGCAG
rnacentral:rRNA from 1 species